CUCGGAAUCGCCGGUCAUAAGCUCAGAAGAGCUCCGUGAAUUAAAUUAAAACAACUUGAAGUGAAUACACUGGAUCUGAAGUUUUAAGCAAUAAAAGGAAAAACAAACUGAACGUGUGUGUGUGUCCACCGAAAAACUUUAUCCAGCCUGUCAAAGAAUAGGCUGAAUUUUCCGACGAUCCACAUCGCCCAUCACUCUAGUGUAACAACUGAUCCGCUGUACCAUAGUCGAGUCGCCACUAGAACGGCCAGGAAAAAUUUAGAGAUCGUAGGGAAAUUACUGAUGAAGUUUGAGGCAAAUUUGACGAGAAUUUAGGGAAGCCGUCUUAAAGCAAUAGCCGCCGAGCGGUAGUCGACCGUCGCUUGACUUGCCGUUACUGGGUUGGGUUUGAACUUCUCGUUUUAUCGUCCGCGCUCUCUUCAUUUUUCGAUUCAGGAUUUGGAGGAUCAAUCGAUCUCCGGGUUAUGACGGUUAUUUUCAAUUUACUUACGAUUUCUCGGCUGGAGAUUGAAUUCGAAUAAAUUUUUCCUCGCCUCUGGUUUCUCUUCCUCUCGACUGGAUGUGAGAUGUUAAAUGCUGGAUGCUGCGAUCUAAGGAAGAGUUCAGGCCCUCGAUGACGAUGUCAAUGGAUGAAGCCAAAUGGUCGUUGAUAUUGGAUUUCGGGUUGGAUUAAUUAUUAUUUCUCCGCACUUCUGUCGGGUCGAUCGAUG